GAGUGGACUAGGUCGGGCAGUUAGGCCCUGCUCGCCACCCCCACUAUGGUCUUCAGGGGGGACCGAACCCCUGGUGCGUCCGGACAGACCCGGACGGGCCUCGGGAGCCGACGUGGAAGCCUCGUCCGUCGGGGAUGGCGGUCGUCGGGCGUCGUCCGCAGGGACGGCGUCCCCGACGUUAGUCGGUGGUAAUGGGUCAGGCACGGAAGUGAGCAGCCCACCGCCGGACAGCGAUCGCUCGCCGGGUCGCGGGGUGGAGGAGGCAACCGGGAUCCCCCGUCCGGGAACGCCGGGCCAACCAGCCCGUCCGCAU
rnacentral:SRP_RNA from 1 species